AUGGGAGAUGCACUUGAAGAUGCCCAGCUGUUAGCAGGACACAUGCGUAUGGAGCUCGUCGGGAGAAAAUACGGUGUGUAUGGUGCAGGUCAUCUAGAGCAACCGCAACUGUCCAGUACCAAACAGCUGUCAAAAACAGCCCGCCUGGAAUGCGUGGUAUCCGGUGUCACAAUUUCUACAACAUCUGUGUAUUGGUAUCGAGAAAGGCCCGGGCAAGCCGUGCAUCUCCUGCUGUACAUUUCGUCUGACAACACCGUCAACGUGGAAUCGGGCAUUACGCCGGGCAAGUUUGAGGCAGACAAGACACCUGACACUUCGACGUCUACCCUUACCAUUCACAGUGUAAACGAACAAGACGCGGCCACCUACUCCUGUGCACUCUGGGACGCGCACAGUAGCAGACCUUAG